GUCCCUGUAGCGCAGCGGAUAGCGCGCUGGACUUCUAAUCCAGAGGCCUCGGGUUCGAAUUCCACCAGGGAUG
rnacentral:tRNA from 1 species